AUGUCAGUAUCAAUGAAUAUGAGGCAAAACUCAGUCAGCACUCCUAUCCGUAGGACGACAAAUCCCUUUGAUUCUGACUCUGAUUCUGAAGUGCCCUCAAGACCAUCAAGGGCACAAUCAGCUCCAACACAGCACACCAAUCAAUCUGUGCAAGAAUUGGAAGAUUACACUCUACGUAAAGCAGAAGAAACCUCAAGCAAAGCAAAUGAUUGUGUUAGGGCAGCCGAAGCUAUUAGGGAAGAUGCGACACAAAUCCUUCUGACUUUGCAUCGACAAGGUGAACAGAUCACUCACACUCAUCGAGUAGCGGCUGACAUCGAGCACGACCUUACCAUGAGUGAGAAGCUUUUGGGAAGUCUAGGAGGACUAUUUUCGAAGACAUGGAGGCCAAAGAGAAAUCAACAUAUAAAAGGCCCUGUUUCACAGAAUAGUUCUUUUAAGAGUACAACGAACCAAAUGGAGCAGAGGCAGAAUCUUGGUAUUGGCUCAAGACCUCAACAAUUUCCCAGUUCUGUACAUAGUGCGCCUGCAACUGCGAUGAACAAAAUUAAGGCUGAGAAAGCAAGGCAAGACGAUGCAUUUGCAGACUUGAGUAACAUGUUGGAAAACCUGAAGGAUAUGGCACUGGAUAUGGGUACAGAAAUCGAUAGGCAAAACAAAUCACUGGAUACUUUCAGCGACGACGUUGAUGAGCUCAACUUCAGAGUCAAAGGUGCGAACCAACGGGGGCGUCGGUUGCUUGGGAAGUGA
rnacentral:rRNA from 1 species